rnacentral:misc_RNA from 1 species
GAAAUGCGAUAAGUAGUGUGAAUUGCAGAAUUCAGUGAAUCAUCGAAUCUUUGAACGCACAUUGCGCCCCUUGGUAUUCCAUGGGGCAUGCCUGUUCGAGCGUCAUUUGUACCUUCAAGCUUUGCUUGGUGUUGGGUGUUUGUCUCGCCUCUGCGCGCAGACUCGCCUCAAAACAAUUGGCAGCCGGCGUAUUGAUUUCGGAGCGCAGUACAUCUUGCGCUUUGCACUCAUAACGACGACGUCCAAAAAGUACAUUUUUUACACUCUUGACCUCGGAUCAGGUAGGGAUACCCGCUGAACUUAAGC